UACGAAGGGGGGCUAGCGUUGCUCGGAAUCACUGGGCGUAAAGCGCACGUAGGCGGCUUCUUAAGUCAGGGGUGAAAUCCUGGAGCUCAACUCCAGAACUGCCCUUGAUACUGAGGAGCUCGAGUCCGGAAGAGGUGAGUGGAACUGCGAGUGUAGAGGUGAAAUUCGUAGAUAUUCGCAAGAACACCAGUGGCGAAGGCGGCUCACUGGUCCGGUACUGACGCUGAGGUGCGAAAGCGUGGGGAGCAAACAGGG
rnacentral:rRNA from 1 species